GUCACCCACAAAAACAUGGAAUGGGUUUUUAAUUGGACUUCACAGAUAUUUGCUGACUAAAGAUGAGCCUGUGGCAUCUUGAGAUCCACUCCACAUUGUGAGAUCUGCAGUCAGAAGGUGGUGGAAGGUCAUAGAGUUAACAGCCUUUCGGGUUUGCUUCCUUCUCACCACAAGGAUUCUCCCUUACCACUGUUAGAAGAAGGUAUAAUGAAAGGUAUUCUGACUGAACAAAGGCUUAUCCUUCCAGCAGCAAAGAUAACUCUCCAGACAUCUACUGUUGCAUCCAAAACAGCGCCUUCCCAUGAAUUUCACAGGCAGCAUAAGAAGUCAGCUCUACGAGAGAUUAAUAGUUGGGCGGACCCUGAGAAUGCAGACACCAUCACCUUCCCAAACUCAAAGGAAGCCAUUUAUGGCACGUAUUCCUCUGGUAAAGGUAACAUUGCACCACCUCCAUCCAGCAGCUCCAUGGUUUCAGCGCAAAUAUCAAAGCCAGUGUGGACAUAUCCAUCUCAACUGUCAGACUCUGAGCUGCAGAUUCCCUCUCAGACACAGCUCCUGCAAAUGCCUCCAUGUCAAUCCUUACAAGAUCUAUGCUUUGACUGCGACAUUGCUGUUUACCGUGGCACAAUAGACCAGGAAGCUCCAGGCUUUCUGGCAUUCAAGCAGCAUUAUUGUUUGUCUUGGGGGAGCAUUGCCCGUUUCUUGGAACAUACAGAAAAGCUUCUCAAGGACUAUGCUGUACUCUUGGCUACGAUCAACUGUAAAAAGCUAGCGGAAGUUGCAUCAGACUUUGAGCUCCAUAAAAAUCCCACCAAAAGUGACAUUCUGUCAGUGAUAAAGAAUCAGUCAACUGUGGAAAAGAUCUUAAAUCGACCUGGCCAAAGAUACAAAGGCCAAGGGGGUACCGAAAUGGCCGCUACAAAGAUCCAAGCAACAUGGCGAUGUUAUUGGGCCAGAAAAGCCUACAUCCAUUUCAGGCGGCAGCAGUGGGCAUCAGGUGUGAUUGCCGCUUCUUGGCUCUUGCGUAAUCACAUGGCACGUGUGAAAAAGACCCUAAAGGAAUCACGUCAGAGACACCUGGAGAAUUUUUACAUCAGGGCCAAGCAUCUGGCAGCCAACUGGAAUCGCAUCAGGACCUCCAGGAGGACUAUUAUCCAUAUCCCAUCAUUAGGCUAUUCCCAGUGCACCCGUGAGCAUACUCCUGAUCUUGCUGUCCAACAGAACAUGCAGAUGGGGAGGCUGUGUGACAUUCUGGAUGCCAACGUGGACGUCAUCUACAUCUGCCCCCUUCAUCUGAGUGAGGAGUUACUGCAAUAUUACGAUAAACUCCUGGGUCUGCAGGCAGCUGUUAGAUCUGGGAACCCUGAGGACAUGGGUGACCUGCAGGACAGGUUCAGAAUUCUCACCCCUGAAGCUAUAAACAGCUUCCCUAAGCACCGCAUGUGCCUUGCCACGCAGCUGAAGUACAGUCCCAAGACUAUCGAAAGAAUAAAAAUUCUUAUCCGGAGCAGAGAUGCCUACAUCGUUGGAGGGGUUCCCCACAAAGAUGAUUUAGCAGUGGCUGACAUGCUAAAUGUGCCUGUAUUAGGCUCGGUGCCAGAAGUGGCUCAUCUCUGUAGCACCAAGUCUGGAAGUAAACGAAUUUUUGCCGAUGCUGGUGUGCCGACCCCUCCUGGAGAAGCUGACAUCUACACCAAGGAAGAGAUGAUUUGUGUUCUCAGCCAGCUGAUUGUUGACAACAUGGAAGUGUGGCGUUGGUUGUUUAAAGUGAACGAUGAAUCCAGAGGAAACGGCACUGCCUAUUGUGAUGUUAUUUCACAUCUGAAAUGCUACCACUGGGUUCAGAAGGAACGUCAGCAAUGCAGCCCUGAGAUAUGGAGUAAGAAGUGGGCACAUGAGCCAGCUUUGGUGAAGAUCUCCCAGGAGCUGCCGGGCCUUUUAGCACAGCACGUACAGCCAGUCAAUGAGAAACGAUUCCCUACAUGGGAAAAAUUCCUCCAAACAUUUCUUAGUCAAGGUGGUGUGAUAGAAGCCUUCCCGCUCUCGGAAAACGUCACAAACCUUACGGUGGAUAUGCUGAUAGAGCCAACAGGCAAGAUAAAAAUAGUGUCAUCUGGAGACCAGCUCCAUGCUGACGGUCCUUUGCGAUCAUCUGGCACUACUGUUCCACAACGUUCUGUCGAUCCAGCACUUCUCAAUUCACUCUGCUUAAAAAUUGGAGAAACCUGUAAAUCAAAAGGAGUGCUUGGUUACUUCUCAGUUGAUUUUGUGACUUUCAUCCACCCUCAAACAAUGGAGCAGCAGGUGUGGGCAACAGACCUCGACCUUUGCUACAGUGACCAGCUGGCCCUGACUCAGCUCAUGUUGUACAUGACAGAUGCACCUCUGGAUUGGCGCUCCAGCCACUUUGAAGUGACUCUUGGUUCAGAUCAAAUGAAAAGCCAAUGCAUUCAGCACGAGGAGGCAAAAAACCCUUCUCCAAUGAGCAACCGAUGUGCAGCAGUGAGCACUCAACUGAGGCACUCCAGCCUGUCAGACAUCUACUAUAAUGUUCUCUUCCAGAUGUGUAAAGCUCGUGGUGUUGGAUUUGACCUCCAGGAAAAACAGGGAACAGUUUUUAUAUUGUAUGAAGAUCAGAAGAGAUACAGACUGGGAAUGAUCAGGACAAGAAGAAAUGAACUUAACUUGCAGCAAGAAAGAUUCAUGUUUAGCAUAAGAAAGAAUUCUGCUGAACAAUCGGAGAGGAUCUGCAGGGGGUCCUCAUGACCUUUGCUCGCAAUCUCUUCAUCAUCCAUCAAGAAAUAUCAGCGCCUAAUAUGCAAGGCGAGACCAAUUUUAAGAUGGCAAUUCAAGAUAUUGAAGCAAUUCUAGGAAUUACAGCAGAAAACAAACUGAAAUUGGAAGAAGAGCAACCUUCGAAAGCAGAUGCUCAGAAAGAAUAGUUAACGGAAAAUGUUUAAGUGCCUUAUUCUUUAUGCUUCUGGAAACGCUUUCUCAUCUGUAAGAACAGGUUUGUUUUUUCUUCUGUGUUGGCAUGUGAGGUAAUAUUAACCAAGACGGUACUUUUCCAUGGUUUCUGAGUGUGGUGCUUAGAAUAUUCUUGCAGAAGAAUGAACAGUUGAAAAGCAGAGGAUCAUAACAAAUGCCCCUGAUGCUCACAUUGUUGUUCCUCAAGUGCAGUAUCUGGGCUUAAAUCUUAUAAAUGGAAUAUGUAGAGGGAUCUCGCUGCCUUUGUCACCAAAUCAGACUCGGAGAUCACACUAUUGAUCAGGUCCUCUGACCCUGAAUUCCCUUUCAAACCUAUUGUUUUCUAAAAUACAGGCUUCCAACGUAAAAGUAGGUCUGGUGUUCUUCUGCCUAUAAAUGACUGCACUUAAAUGCCAUUUUAUCAGUCAGGCCAGCAACCCAGAUUCCUCUUUAGAAGCAGUUGUCCUAUUGCUACUUUUCUGGGUUUUUUUAUCUACACAAUUUUGCAGCAGUUGCUUUAUGUUUACAUUCAAAUUAUCAAAAACAAUACUAAUGGCACUGGUUCAACAUUGGAUUCUGAGAGGACCAUUAGAAUAUACAGAUGGGUUUGAUCUUAAAGGUCUUUUCCAACCUAAACAAUUGUGUGAUUCUGUAACUGUACUCAUACUACAAUUCCCAAUGUACCAUGGCUUUUGCUGCUGAUCUUUCUAUCCAUCAGGUUCUCUAUUUCAGAUACUUUGACUUUUUUUUUUGUCAGAAUAGCUCAGGCAAAAGCAGUUUUUAAGAUAAAUAAGGAAUGAGACCAAGCAGUUGCAGCAGAUCAGCGCCCAUUUUUUUCUGAUGCCUGAGCCUUUGACCUAUCAGCUUCAAACAUUGUCUUUUUUGUUAGCUUUUUUCUUUGGUCACAGAUUCUGCUUUUGGUCUCUGCAGAUGAGAAUGUUUGCAUGAAUGCUGAUCCUUGUUUCAAAUAAAAGUCUAAAAUAUUUUUGUUUAAUUCUGGUUUGUUUGUUUUUAUUCCUUUAUUACACUUGAUCUCAAUGUGGUCUUGAUUUUGGAUAUACCAGAGCCCA